ACGGGUGAGUAGUACAUCGGAACGUAUCCUGGAGUGGGGGAUAGCCCGGCGAAAGCCGGAUUAAUACCGCAUACGCUCUGAGGAGGAAAGCGGGGGACCUUCGGGCCUCGCGCUCAAGGGGCGGCCGAUGGCGGAUUAGGUAGUUGGUGGGGUAAAGGCCUACCAAGCCGACGAUCCGUAGCUGGUCUGAGAGGACGACCAGCCACACUGGGACUGAGACACGGCCCAGACUCCUACGGGAGGCAGCAGUGGGGAAUUUUGGACAAUGGGGGCAACCCUGAUCCAGCAAUGCCGCGUGUGUGAAGAAGGCCUUCGGGUUGUAAAGCACUUCUGUCCGGAAAGAAAUCAUCGGGGCCAAUACCCCUGGUGGAUGACGGUACCGGAAGAAUAAGCACCGGCUAACUACGUGCCAGCAGCCGCGGUAAUACGUAUGGUGCGAGCGUUAAUCGGAAUUACUGGGCGUAAAGCGUGCGCAGGCGGUGCUGUAAGACCGAUGUGAAAUCCCCGGGCUUAACCUGGGAACUGCAUUGGUGACUGCAACGCUGGAGUAUGGCAGAGGGGGGUGGAAUUCCACGU
rnacentral:rRNA from 1 species